CCCUUGAAACUGCGAAUGGCUCAUUAAAACAGUUAUAGUUUAUUCGAUAAUCAAAUUUACAUGGAUAACCGUAGUAAUUCUAGAGCUAAUACAUGCUGUCAAACCUGACUUUUCGGAAAGGUUGUAUUUAUUAGAUAUAAACCAACCCCUCGUGGUUGUGAUGAUUCAUAAUAACUGAGCGAAUCUGGGUUGUACUCAGAUAAAUCGUUCAAGUUUCUGCCCUAUCAGCUUUCGAUGGUAGUGUAUUGGACUACCAUGGCGGUCACGGGUAACGGAGAAUAAGGGUUCGAUUCCGGGGAGGGAGCCUGAGAAAUGGCUACCACAUCUAAGGAAGGCAGCAGGCGCGUAAAUUACCCAAUCCUGACUCAGGGAGGUAGUGACAAGAAAUAACAACUCGGGACCCCUUGUGGGUCUGCGAGAUUGCAAUGAGAACAAUUUAAACCACUUAUCGAGGAACAAUUGGAGGGCAAGUCUGGUGCCAGCAGCCGCGGUAAUUCCAGCUCCAAUAGCGUAUAUUAAAGUUGUUGCAGUUAAAAAGCUCGUAGUUGAUUUUCUGGCCAGUUCCUGGCUUGGCUGUAGUCGGUCAGUGGGCUUGGUCAUCCGUAGGGGAAACACGUACGCACUUCAAUGGGCGGCGUGCGGAACCUACAUUUUACUGUGAAAAAAUUAGAGUGCUCCAGGCAGGCAAUCGCUUGGAUACUCCAGCAUGGAAUAAUGGAAUAGGACUUUGAACUAUUUGUUGGUUUGAGUUCAGAGUAAUGAUUAAUAGGGACAGUUGGGGGCAUUCGUAUUCAAUUGUCAGAGGUGAAAUUCUUGGAUUUAUUAAAGACGAACUUAUGCGAAAGCAUUUGCCAAGGAUGUUUUCAUUAAUCAAGAACGAAAGUUAGGGGAUCAAAGACGAUCAGAUACCGUCGUAGUCUUAACCAUAAACUAUACCGACUUGGGAUCGGCAGGGUCUUCUAAGCCCUGUCGGAACCAUAUGAGAAAUCAAAUCUUUGGGUUCUGGGGGGAGUAUGGGUCGCAAGGCUGAACUUAA
rnacentral:rRNA from 1 species